ACGGAAGGCAGCAGUGGGGAAUAUUGCACAAUGGGGGAAGCCCUGAUGCAGCGACGCCGCGUGAGUGAAGAAGUAUUUCGGUAUGUAAAGCUCUAUCAGCAGGGAAGAUAAUGACGGUACCUGACUAAGAAGCCCCGGCUAACUACGUGCCAGCAGCCGCGGUAAUACGUAGGGGGCAAGCGUUAUCCGGAUUUACUGGGUGUAAAGGGAGCGUAGGUGGUUUGGCAAGUCAGAAGUGAAAGCCAGGGGCUCAACCCCUGGAUUGCUUUUGAAACUGUCAGACUAGAGUGCUGGAGAGGUAAGUGGAAUUCCUAGUGUAGCGGUGAAAUGCGUAGAUAUUAGGAGGAACACCAGUGGCGAAGGCGGCUUGCUGGACAGUAACUGACACUGAGGCUCGAAAGCGUGGGGAGCAAACAGGAUUAGAUACCCUGGUA
rnacentral:rRNA from 1 species